rnacentral:rRNA from 1 species
GACGAACGCUGGCGGCGUGCCUAAUACAUGCAAGUCGAACGCUUCUUUUUCACCGAACUUCGGUUCAUCGAAAAAGAGGAGUGGCGAACGGGUGAGUAACACGUGGGUAACCUGCCCAUCAGAAGGGGAUAACACUUGGAAACAGGUGCUAAUACCGUAUAAUGCUUUUUCUCGCAUGAGAGCAAGCUGAAAGGCGCUUUUGCGUCACUGAUGGAUGGACCCGCGGUGCAUUAGCUAGUUGGUGAGGUAACGGCUCACCAAGGCCACGAUGCAUAGCCGACCUGAGAGGGUGAUCGGCCACACUGGGACUGAGACACGGCCCAGACUCCUACGGGAGGCAGCAGUAGGGAAUCUUCGGCAAUGGACGAAAGUCUGACCGAGCAACGCCGCGUGAGUGAAGAAGGUUUUCGGAUCGUAAAACUCUGUUGUUAGAGAAGAACAAGGAUGAGAGUAAAAUGUUCAUCCCUUGACGGAUCUAACC